rnacentral:rRNA from 1 species
UACCUCGUUGCUUCGGCGGGCCCGCCUUAACUGGCCGCCGGGGGGCUCACGCCCCCGGGCCCGCGCCCGCCGAAGACACCCCCGAACUCUGCCUGAAGAUUGUCGUCUGAGUGAAAAUAUAAAUUAUUUAAAACUUUCAACAACGGAUCUCUUGGUUCCGGCAUCGAUGAAGAACGCAGCGAAAUGCGAUACGUAAUGUGAAUUGCAAAUUCAGUGAAUCAUCGAGUCUUUGAACGCACAUUGCGCCCCCUGGUAUUCCGGGGGGCAUGCCUGUCCGAGCGUCAUUGCUGCCCUCAAGCCCGGCUUGUGUGUUGGGCCCCGUCCUCCGAUUCCGGGGGACGGGCCCGAAAGGCAGCGGCGGCACCGCGUCCGGUCCUCGAGCGUAUGGGGCUUUGUCACCCGCUCUGUAGGCCCGGCCGGCGCUUGCCGAUCAACCCAAAUUUUUAUCCAGGUUGACCU